rnacentral:rRNA from 1 species
AUUGAACGCUGGCGGCAGGCUUAACACAUGCAAGUCGAGCGGAGAUGAGGUGCUUGCACCUUAUCUUAGCGGCGGACGGGUGAGUAAUGCUUAGGAAUCUGCCUAUUAGUGGGGGACAACAUUCCGAAAGGAAUGCUAAUACCGCAUACGUCCUACGGGAGAAAGCAGGGGAUCUUCGGACCUUGCGCUAAUAGAUGAGCCUAAGUCGGAUUAGCCAGUUGGUGGGGUAAAGGCCUACCAAGGCGACGAUCUGUAGCGGGUCUGAGAGGAUGAUCCGCCACACUGGGACUGAGACACGGCCCAGACUCCGACGGGAGGCAGCAGUGGGGAAUAUUGGACAAUGGGGGGAACCCUGAUCCAGCCAUGCCGCGUGUGUGAAGAAGGCCUUAUGGUUGUAAAGCACUUUAAGCGAGGAGGAGGCUACUAAGACUAAUACUCUUGGAUAGUGGACGUUACUCGCAGAAUAAGCACCGGCUAACUCUGUGCCAGCCGCCGCAGUAACAC